rnacentral:rRNA from 1 species
UACGUAGGGGGCGAGCGUUAUCCGGAUUCACUGGGUGUAAAGGGAGCGUAGGCGGGGAUGCAAGUUGGGUGUCAAAACUACCGGCUCAACUGGUAGUCGCACUCAAAACUGCAGCUCUUGAGUGAAGUAGAGGCAGGCGGAAUUCCUAGUGUAGCGGUGAAAUGCGUAGAUAUUAGGAGGAACACCAGUGGCGAAGGCGGCCUGCUGGGCUUUUACUGACGCUGAGGCUCGAAAGUGUGGGGAGCAAACAGG